rnacentral:rRNA from 1 species
AGUCGGUAACAGGUUUCCGUAGGUGAACCUGCGGAAGGAUCAUUA